AGGAAAUAGACAAACUGAAAGGAGAGCUCAUAGAAAUGAACCUACAAAUAGUUGACAGAGCCAUUCAGGUAGUUCGAAGUGCUUUAGCUAACCAGAUAGAUUGGACAGAAAUUGGGUUAAUUGUGAAAGAAGCCCAGGCUCAAGGAGACCCUGUUGCAAGUGCAAUCAAAGAAUUAAAACUACAAACAAACCAUGUUACAAUGCUGCUAAGAGGAGGAAGAUGAUGAUGUUGAUGAUGACGUCAAUGUUGAGAAAAAUGAAACUGAACCACCAAAAGGAAAAAAGAAAAAACAAAAGAGUAAACAGUUGCAGAAGCCUCAGAAAAAUAAGCCCUUACUUGUAGAUGUUGAUCUCAGCUUGUCAGCAUAUGCCAAUGCCAAAAAGUA
rnacentral:sRNA from 1 species